GUAUUCACUUCCGCAACACAUACUAAAAUUAGAAUAAUAUAGAGAAAAUUUGCACAACCCCUAUACAAGAAUGACACAAAUUUGAGAAGAAUUUCCUAUUUUU